rnacentral:rRNA from 1 species
CAAGGUGCUGCAUGGUUUGUCGUCAGCUCGUGCCGUGAGGUGUCGGGUUAAGUCCCAUAACGAGCGCAACCCCUAUUGUUAGUUGCCAUCAGGUCAUGCUGGGGACUCUAACAAAACUGCCCGCGUAAGCGUGGAGGAAGGUGGGGAUGACGUCAAAUCAGCACGGCCCUUACGUCCAGGGCUACACACGUGCUACAAUGGCCGGUACAGAGGGCAGCCACUUGGUGACAAGGAGCAAAUCUCAAAAGCCGGUCUCAGUUCGGAUCGGAGUCUGCAACUCGACUCCGUGAAGUUGGAUUCACUAGUAAUCGUAGAUCAGCAAUGCUACGGUGAAUACGUUCCCGGGCCUU